AUUGAACGCUGGCGGCAGGCCUAACACAUGCAAGUCGAGCGGCAGCGGGAAAGUAGCUUGCUACUUUUGCCGGCGAGCGGCGGACGGGUGAGUAAUGCCUGGGAAAUUGCCCAGUCGAGGGGGAUAACAGUUGGAAACGACUGCUAAUACCGCAUACGCCCUACGGGGGAAAGCAGGGGACCUUCGGGCCUUGCGCGAUUGGAUAUGCCCAGGUGGGAUUAGCUAUUUGGUGAGGUAAUGGCUCACCAAGGGGACGGUCCCUAGCUGGCCUGAGAGGAUGAUCAGGCACACUGGAACUGAGACACGGUCCAGACUCCUACGGGAGGCAGCAGUGGGGAAUAUUGCACAAUGGGGGAAACCCUGAUGCAGCCAUGCCGCGUGUGAAGAAGGCCUUCGGGUUGUAAAGCACUUUCAGCGAGGAGGAAAGGUUGAUGCCUAAUACGUAUCAACUGUGACGUUACUCGCAGAAGAAGCACCGGCUAACUCCGUGCCAGCCGCCGCAGUAAAAC
rnacentral:rRNA from 1 species